AUGGAUAGAUUUUGGGGAGGAUUAAACUGUGACAUUCAGGAGAUACUAAUUCAUGAAACAUGUUAUCCUAUGGACCGUUUGUUUCGUCUUGCUUGCAAAGCUGAACAGGAGAUAACAAGACGUGUUGCCCACAAGAUAAACAAGCGGAAGGUGCAAAUCCCACGAGUUGCGACGGUUGUUCCUUCCACCACUGCGUCUCCUAUGGCAACAACAUCCAUUGUUGAGAGCACUACAUCAGCUCCACCACGUGACGUGUCGCCACCUAGAGUGCCUACAUCAUCUUUGUUGAUCAUAAGAGGUAAUGACAAAGGUACCGAUCUUCCACCUCCACAUGAGUAUGAUGAAUUCCUUGUCAAUUUAAAUGAACCAUGCGAUGAGCUACCCACUACUUUGAUCACACCAGCUAUUUUAGAGGACUAUGUUCAUCAUUUGACUUUGCCAUGUGAUCAAACAAUUUUGAGUGAACCCAUUGAAUUAACUAUUGAUGCAAAAGAACCAUGUGAAUCAAUGAAAAGAUCAGAUUUGGAUCAAAUACGUUUGAAAAUAGUUGUGCCAAUGUUUAAUCAUUUUGAUAUGCCCUCUAAUCUUGGUGAUGGUUCAUCAAGGUUGGGAUGGUUUAAUGAUGAGCAUUGCCAAUCUUUUAUUAUGAAUAAGAGCUUCACUUAUAUGUGCAAACUAAGUUGCAAUAUUUUCAUGCCUUUGACUUCUUGUGAUAAUAUAUUGGCUUUAUUUUUCAUGACUUUUGAAGGGUGCUCUUGUAUAACUGUGUCACAUGUGCCACAACUGAGAUCAGUUAAAAUGGAUGACAUAUACAUAUACAACGUGUACACCUUGUCUCUAUUGUUAGCCAUAUUUCAGAUUAAGCAACGCCGAGGACGGCUUUGUUUUCAAGAAGGGGAGGAUGAUGAGGACAUGGCUACCACAGUUACACCCAUAUCCCCUGUUGUUUUACCUCUUGGAACAGUUGCUACAGCUCAGAUACGCCAAUUAAAUUAUCAGGUACUUUCGUUUCUUGGUAAUGUUUCUAGUGUUCAUGAGAAUAUGAUGCUGCCUAACUUAGAUACUUUGUGUUGCUUGCAAUUGAAGGGCCUAGCACGGACAAGAAGGAUGAACAUUGGAGCAUGGUCAAGCAUGGAGAUGAAGGUGUGUGCAAAGAGAACAAGAACGGAGGUUCAAGUGGAGAUUUCCGGACUUUGA
rnacentral:rRNA from 1 species